AUUUCCCUAAAAAUAAAAGCAAUCUGCUCAGCCAACCACAUCGCAACACGUGGCACGGUGGCCCACAAAAAAUUUUCUUUUAGCUGUUGAAACUAUACAACGCUUGUUGAUGCCACAUCAUUGUACACAGGUUUACAACACUCUCAUUGUAUGGGAUUAAACAGUUGACAGAGAGUUUCCACACCCUCAUUUCACAUGGUCUAAGACUAUGUACAAUAGAUUCAACACACAACACCCUCCACAUCAUCUUCUCUUUCU
rnacentral:lncRNA from 1 species